CCUACGGGAGGCAGCAGUGNGGAAUNUUGGNCAAUGGGCGCAAGCCUGAUCCAGCCACGCCGCGUGAGGGAUGAAGGCCUUAGGGUUGUAAAGCUCUUUCACCGGGGAAGAUAAUGACGGUACCCGGAGAANAAGCCCCGGNUAANUUCNNGCCAGCAGCCGCGGUAAU
rnacentral:rRNA from 1 species